rnacentral:rRNA from 1 species
CCUACGGGCGGCAGCAGUGGGGAAUAUUGCACAAUGGGGGAAACCCUGAUGCAGCAACGCCGCGUGAGUGAAGACGUAUUUCGGUAUGUAAAGCUCUUUCAGCAGGGAAGCAAAUGACACUACCUGUCUAAGAAGCCCCGGCUAACUACGUGCCAGCCGCCGCGGUAAUACGUAGGGGGCAAGCGUUAUCCGGAUUUACUGGGUGUAAAGGGGGCGUAGGCGGGUGCGCAAGUCAGACGGGAAAGCCCCGGGCUCAACCGCGGGACUGCUUUUGAAACUGUGUAGCUAGAGUGCAGGAGAGGUAAGUGGAAUUCCUAGUGUAGCGGUGAAAUGCGUAGAUAUUAGGAGGAACACCGGUGGCGAAGGCGGCGUACUGAACUGUAACUGACGUUGAGGCACGAAAGCGUGGGGAGCAAACAGGAUUAGAUACCCCUGUAGUC